UCUUGGUUUUCAGAGGGUGGCUGUGGGGAAGCAGUAGCUUGAAAUAGAAGAGUCCAUGGUUAACAUGCUGAGGAACUAAUACAGAAUGGAUCUGAGAACACAUUCAGAACCUACUCUCCUGGCAGACUCAACGGACUGGAGCAAACUCUGCAGUGGACUUAGGUCUUUGAUUCCUCUGAAUUUACACCCUCCCAGUCGUACAGGCAGACUGCCUACUCAUAUUUAAAGCAAACAGAAGCACAUGUCACUUUGAACUUCUUCCCUUGCUCCUCCUGGUACCACCAGCUCUGGAUCAGCCCAUGUCUUCAGACUAUUGUCUGAACAUGACAGAGUUCCCAGAACCCAUGCCUCUCACACAGCAACAGACUUGCUGCUGGGGGGGCUGCCUGGGGAAGAAACACCUGCAAGGAGCCACAGCUGCGGUGGGAGCUUCUCUCCUAAUGCUCUGUUUAGGAUUACAGCACUCCAGAGCAUCACAUUACCCCAGUGGCUGCACUGAAACCUGGUAUUAAUUCACAUUAGCAAGGAUCAGAUUUAGCAUGUUGGGAGAAGGAGGACUGUUAUUAUUUUUUUUAAAUCUGCUGGAGCAAACUCCUAGGGCUGCUCUUUCAUUGGUCAAGGCAAGGACCAGAGAAGUUUCUUUGUUCCUCCCCACCACUGGCCACUUGCCCCAUCCCCUCGUGCAUGAAUGCCUCUAAACACAGGCGUUUGUUUUCAUGGUGGCAUUAUUUACUUAUUUUCAUUUUCAAUGUGCUAAAGACAGUAACUUUCAAAGCAAAUUUAAGAAUGUUGUGGAAUUGCUUUGAAUUGCAGUGCAGCAGAACGGGAUCUUCCAAUAUUGGGAAGACAGCAAUAGAGAGGUGGCAAAUCACCUCUUGUUCAUGCCCAUGAUGGAUUAUAUACCAAGAUCAGAAAAAGGAAAAAGAGUCCAAGCAGUUAGGGCACUAACUACUUUCAGAGGUAGGCUAUGGAGACAUCAUCACUGGAUAAUACUAAAAAUCUAAGUUGGGUAAAUCUGAUGUUGUCUUUGGUAGGGACAUGCUACACACCCUUUAAAACCCUUUCUAAUGCAGCAAUUAUGAGGGUGGAGUUAGUUUUCUCACCUAAAAACUUCUGGUUGGAUUCUUUUCUUCCUUUUUCUUCCCUUUUCCUCCCCACACAAACUCCUCUUUACUGGGUGUUGUUAUGGCUGUUUCCAUCUGAGGAGUACAUAUUCCCCAGGUUUAUCUGUUGCACCUAGAGUGGGGUGUUUAGUUGUCCUUCUAUGGCCUUGUGACACCACCCUUGUGUUUUUCCAAGCAAUGGGCCAUCCUACAUACAUAUAAUUGACCCCCAAUUUCAGCUGGUGCCUCUUGAAUCCACAGGAACAUAAAUAUCAGUAGCAACAUAAUAUAGCUAUCCGUUAAAUAUCACCUGAAUGCCUUUGUAGAGCCUUGGAAUGAAUAAGAAAAAAGAAGUGGAUUUGAAUGGUAGCCUGCAGAGACUGCAAAUCCCAACCACGUUUGUUCAUUUUAUUUACAGUUUCAGAAUUAUCUUGAAAUGUCAUUAAUAUCUGCUGUGCUACAUGAUGAAUUCUUAGAUAUAGGGGGUAAACUAGAAUAGUAGAGCUGGAGACAAGACAUGAAGUCUGGUGUUGAAUACAGUGCCAGGGGUGAAGAACAAGGGGUAGCACAUCAUCUGCUGACCCUUGCAUGACAUUUCAUUGUGUAGAGAAGAGAAUACUUCUGUCGUUUGUUAGAAUGUCAACUCUGUGUAUGGAAAUCUACAGAUCAUCCAGAUUUGUAAAGCCAGAAGAAGACAUCUGAAGGUAGGAUUUCACUUCCUGUACAAACGCAGGCCAUCAAAUUUCAGCUUAUUAGCUCUCUACAGAGCCAUACUAUUUUGUUCCAGAAACUGAGCCAGGAUGAGAAAUCAAGUGCUUUGUGUGAUUCUUUAUUCACUUAAUCUGGUGAACGAUGAUUCCCUUUUCCUGCUGCCCUGGGGUGGACCCGUGCCAUCCCAAUGGGAACUGUAUGCGCUGCAGGGGAAAGUCAAUCUUCCCAGGUCUUACUGGCAUCUCAAGAUCAAAGUACUGUAAGAGCGACCAUCCAUCUUAUCUCAUACAAGCCACACUGCCAUCCUCAGAUGGCAAACAUUGCAGGCAGCUUUGUCAUCGGUCAGUUUAAGAUCAUAUUUAGGGAGUUGGAGUAACGGACUGUCAGAGCCUGUCUGUCUCUGAAAUCAGUGGAGGAAAGUAGCUGCUGCCUGUAUCUUAGUGCAUCUAUGGCAGACAGCUGGGUACAGCUCUUGUUCUUUAUUCCUCUGGUAGAUAUCUUGAGCCAUAAGUAGGUCUCCCACUGAUGGUGUGUUUUCAGCACUGUUGCUUUCCCACUCUCUCUGUGUUCUGACACCCAAAUUUAUUGAUGUUCAUUUUAAUUUUUCUUGGAAAGAAAAAAAAAAGGGAAGGAAAAUCCUACCUUCAAUAUGCACAGGUUUAGAGGGCUCCUGGGAUUACACUUUUGUGUGCACAAGCUGAAGGCAAGACUGCCAAAUUGAUUUAUCUCUUCCGUGUGUUAUCAUGCUCAUACAGGGCAGAAUUAAUGGGCUCCUGAUAGUCACACACAGUGCAGCCUCUCAAUGGCCGUUCUCUCUGGGAAACUCCAGAUACUUCUGAAAA